AAUGGUUAGGCAAGCGUCAGUCCCACUGUGACGUACGGCAGCCUUCUGGUGAGCAAGGAUGGACUGCAGCCAACCAUUGAAGAGAGGAGAUGCAGCCCUCUAACUGCAGCUCUGAAGAGCAGACUGUCAGCUGAAAAAGCCUAAGUGCUGAGAGUUUGGUGGUCAACUGUGACAAAUGCAAGGUCAGGAUGUUCUGGUUUUCCAGAGGAAGUGGGCACUCGGACCUGCCAGAAGGAGUGCAAAGAGUUCCUGGAUGAAGUGCAGCUGACCCAAGCUGUGAAGGUA